rnacentral:rRNA from 1 species
CAGCCGCCGCGGUAAUACGAAGGGGGCUAGCGUUGCUCGAAAUUACUGGGCGUAAAGCGCACGUAGGCGGCUUGGUAAGUUAGAGGUGAAAGCCUGGAGCUCAACUCCAGAAUUGCCUUUAAGACUGCCGAGCUAGCAGGUGAGAGAGGUAAGUGGAAUUCCGAGUGUAGAGGUGAAAUUCGUAGAUAUUCGGGAGAACACCAGUGGCGAAGGCGGCUUACUGGCUCAUACUGGACGCUGAGGUGCGAAAGCGUGGGGAGCAAACAGGAUUAGAUACCCCAGUAGUCCCUGUCUCUUAUAC